rnacentral:rRNA from 1 species
GAUGAACGCUGGCGGCAUGCCUAAUACAUGCAAGUCGAACGAGAGGAAGGAAAGCUUGCUUUUCUGAAUCUAGUGGCGAACGGGUGAGUAACACGUAGGUAACCUGCCCAUGUGCCCGGGAUAACUUCUGGAAACGGAUGCUAAAACCGGAUAGGUAGCAGACAAGCAUUUGACUGCUAUUAAAGUGGCUAAGGCCAUGAACAUGGAUGGACCUGGGGUGCAUUAGCUAGUUGGUGAGGUAACGGCCCACCAAGGCGACGAUGCAUAGCCGGCCUGAGAGGGCGGACGGGGACAUUGGGACUGAGACACGGCCCAAACUCCUACGGGAGGCAGCAGUAGGGAAUUGUCGUCAAUGGGGGGAACCCUGAACGAGCAAUGCCGCGUGAGUGAGGAAGGUCUUCGGAUCGUAAAGCUCUGUUGUAAGAGAAAAACGACAUUCAUAGGGAAUGAUGAGUGAGUGAUGGUAUCUUACCAGAAAGUCACGGCUAACUACGUGCCAGCCGCCGCCGUUAA